GAACUGAGAGAUAAAGGGAGUUAGCUGCUGCUUUGCAUUCCUGCUCACUGUCCUCCUAACUUGAUUCUUCAUUUUCAAGAUUUGGGCAAAAAAACGUUCUCUUGAAGUGGAAGAUUUAUUGUGAUUUACAUUUGAAGAUAAAGGCAUGCACACAUCUUGUUAACAAUU